CCUACGGGAGGCUGCAGUGGGGAAUAUUGGACAAUGGGCGAAAGCCUGAUCCAGCCAUGCCGCGUGUGUGAAGAAGGCCUUCGGGUUGUAAAGCACUUUCAGUGGGGAAGAAAGCCUUGGGGCUAAUACCCUCGAGGAAGGACAUCACCCACAGAAGAAGCACCGGCUAACUCCGUGCCAGCAGCCGCGGUAAUACGGAGGGUGAGAGCGUUAAUCGGAAUUACUGGGCGUAAAGCGCGCGUAGGCGGUCUGAUAAGCCGGUUGUGAAAGCCCCGGGCUCAACCUGGGAACGGCAUCCGGAACUGUCAGGCUAGAGUGCAGGAGAGGAAGGUAGAAUUCCCGGUGUAGCGGUGAAAUGCGUAGAGAUCGGGAGGAAUACCAGUGGCGAAGGCGGCCUUCUGGACUGACACUGACGCUGAGGUGCGAAAGCGUGGGUAGCAAACAGGAUUAGAUACCCGGGUAGUU
rnacentral:rRNA from 1 species